rnacentral:rRNA from 1 species
UACAGAGGGUGCGAGCGUUGUUCGGAAUUAUUGGGCGUAAAGCGCGCGCAGGUGGUGCGGUAAGUCCUGUGUGAAAUCUCCCGGCUCAACUGGGAGGGUGCGGAGGAGACUGCCGGACUGGAGGCACUCAGAGGCCGGUGGAAUUCCCGGUGUAGUGGUGAAAUGCGUAGAGAUCGGGAGGAACACCAGUGGCGAAGGCGGCCGGCUGGGGGUGACCUGACGCUGAGGCGCGAGAGCGUGGGGAGCGAACAGG